ensembl:lncRNA
GGAGACUUAAUGAUAGAGUUGUAUAACUAUAAAAAAGUUUGUGAAACAAUGUAUAGUAAACCAAAAAGGAAAACGGCUCAGGUGUUAGUUGUAGGCGGGGCCUCAGACGACAGCUUGGUCCACUAAUCGCAAAAGCAAUUAAUUUUAUUUUCUUAAACAAACAAACAAUUUGGUAAAUAUAUAACAUAAAAAUAUGAAUUGGUUUUAAAAAUUGAGGAUGUUUUAUUCUUAAUAACGUCACUGGCACGCGGGAAGUAUCCUGUUUGAGGCCUACUCGAUUAUUUAGUUUAUUAUUUAGUAGCAUUUAGGCACAAAGACACAAUUUUCUAUGAUAGUCGGAUAAAUGUUGAAGUAAGAAGAUGAAAAUACCAAAAAAUGACGCUUUCUUCAGUUUCACUGUGGAAAGACCGCGGAGUGAAGUAUACACAGCAUGGUUUCUGUGGAUGGCCUGCGUGUCUUCAGCAGCGGCAGAAUCCUCUGAGGAACUGGCCUGACUCAUCUGCAUCUGUGACAGGUAAGAAAAGAAACCAAACAACUCACAGUAAGACAAGCAGAGAGCUGCCCUGCACAAUGCACCCUAUUUUUUCCCCCUUUUUUUUUUUUUUUUUUGCAUUGACUAGAUAUUCAUUUUCACACCUCACUUCUCCAUAUUUAUGAUUGCCCAUGAGAACAUUUUUUAUUUAUGCUGACUUCUUUCAUAAACUGGACAGCGGUUUCUUUUUUCUCCAUGUGUGUCAAAACAAUCUCUGAUUUAUAAUUUAUGUGAUUUAUGAUCGCUAUAAGCUAUCAAAAAGUGUCAAAAGAAAAGUUUUUU